AACAAUCUUCAGCCCAUCCCCAGUCUGUCGACAAACUCUUUUACGGUCUUCCACUUCCUCUUCUCCGAUCUCUGAGUUUAAGCGUUACUUUGAGCAUCUCCUUAUCAAUCAAUGAUCAACUUUAAAUUCUUCUUAAAUUUUUCGUUCCACCUCCCCUUGAUCCUCCACCUAUAGAAAGCGUUGUAUCUAAACCUAAAUCCACUCAAAAAAAAAAAACUACUGUGAAACUACAUCCAUGUCCAUGAAAUCCACCGGAGAAUCUCAGAUCUCCACUGACAAGUCUCAAGUCGCUGUCUAUUUUAACGACAUCUCACAGAACCAGCUCAGUCAGAGCUUGAUUUUGCUCCCUUUAUAUAGAGCUUGCAGUUCGUCGACAUGUUACUCAUCGGGUCUAUGGUUUCGAUCCAGUCUCAUCAAUCUGAGAUUUAUUGUUAACCAAGAAGAACAGCGCUGCUUGGAAGUUCGUUGUGGAUUUGCGCUCUCUCUCUCUCUCUCUUUUCAUCUCGAUUAUGUUACUCUGUUUUGAUAUUUGUUUGAUCCAGUGUUAUUAGGUGUUAUUUUUAAUUGUUCAUCUUACUUUCAGUAACCGGUAAGGCAAGAUGAAGCAGAUAAACAAUUUAUUCAUCAAUUAGAGGAAGAGGAAUCGGCAGAGCAAUCCAUCUUCUUCCACUGUCUUGAAAAUCAAUUGCAAAAGUGAGUUCUAUCUCCUUUGGAUUGAGUAGGGUUUUUGGUUGACACAUGUUGACAAAUUCAGGGACUGCAAUACCACGCUUGAAAUAAAGGAUCAACAGCCAAGGAACCAAAUUUUACAAAAGAAAGUUCUUGGCGUGGAAGAUUUCAUGUGCAUGUUAAACGAACCGUACGACCUGUCUAUGCUACGGUUUUGCAGCAUAAGAAACCAACCUCAAGUGCUGCAGAUGAUAUAACAGGUGGAUCAAGAUUGACUUCUCAGACUGUUCUGAGGCAAGAAGUACCAACUGCAACCUCCAAAAGUUACACCUUCAAAACAAGUAUGGUCAUUUAGUUUUCAUUUUUUUGUUUUGUCGCUUUUGUUUUACAUUAUAAAAACACUUAACCAACACAUGUGUCACUCGGUAUAUCAAAAAUUUGAUUUCUAAAGUAGGAGAAGCCAGUCCCAACA